rnacentral:rRNA from 1 species
UAGGGAAUAUUAGAAAUGGACGAAAGUCUGAUCUAGCAACACCGCGUGUGCGAAGAAGGCCUUCGGGUUGUAAAGCACUUUUUGGAAGGAUUAGGAAGGAAUGUACUUCCAGAAUAAGUCUCGGCUAACUACGUGCCAGCAGCCGCGGUAACACGUAGGAGGCAAACGUUAUCCGGAUUUACUGGGCGUAAAGCGCGUGUAGGUGGUUCUGUAAGUAGGGCGUGAAAGCUCCUGGCUCAACUGGGAUAGGCCGUUCUAAACUGCAGAGCUAGAGGAUGGUAGAGGGAGGUGGAAUUCCGGGUGUAGCGGUGGAAUGCGCAGAUAUCCGGAGGAACAGCAGUGGCGGAAGCGGGCUCCUGGACCAUUCCUGACACUCAGACGCGAAAGCUAGGGUAGCAAACG